rnacentral:rRNA from 1 species
AAACAUGAGAGUUUGAUCCUGGCUCAGAGCGAACGCUGGCGGCGUGCCUAACACAUGCAAGUCGAACGUGAAAGGGGGCAACCCUGAGUAAAGUGGCGUACGGGUGAGUAACGCGUAGGUAAUCUACCCCAGAAUCUGGAAUAACCUGCCGAAAGGCGGGCUAAUACUGGAUAGAGCGACGGAAUCCGUAAUUGGGUUUUUCGGGAAAGGGAGGCCGUAAGGCCCCUCGUUUUGGGAUGAGCCUGCGUCUCAUUAGCUAGUUGGUAAGGUAACGGCUUACCAAGGCAUUGAUGGGUAGCUGGUCUGAGAGGAUGAUCAGCCACACUGGAACUGAGACACGGUCCAGACUCCUACGGGAGGCAGCAGUGGGGAAUCUUGCGCAAUGGACGAAAGUCUGACGCAGCCACGCCGCGUGAGUGAAGAAGGCCUUCGGGUUGUAAAGCUCUGUCGAGCGGGACGAAAAUACUUUGGGUUAACAGCCCAAGGGACUGACGGUACCGCUAAAGGAAGCACCGGCUAACUCUGUGCC